GUAGGGCGCAAGCGUUGUCCGGAAUUAUUGGGCGUAAAGAGCUCGUAGGCGGUUUGUCGCGUCUGCUGUGAAAACCUAAGGCUCAACCUUGGGCUUGCAGUGGGUACGGGCAGACUAGAGUGCGGUAGGGGUGACUGGAAUUCCUGGUGUAGCGGUGGAAUGCGCAGAUAUCAGGAGGAACACCGAUGGCGAAGGCAGGUCACUGGGCCGCAACUGACGCUGAGGAGCGAAAGCAUGGGGAGCGAACAGG
rnacentral:rRNA from 1 species